AACGUAGGAGACAAACGUUAUCCGGAGUUACUGGGCGUAAAGGGCGCGCAGGCGGCGGUGCUGGCCCGGCGUGAAAGCCCCCGGCUCAACCGGGGAGGGUCGUCGGGGACCGCACCGCUUGAGGGCGGUAGGGGCCGGUGGAAUGCCUGGUGUAGUGGUGAAAUGCGUAGAGAUCAGGCAGAACACCUGGGGCGAAGGCGGCCGGCUGGGCCGACCCUGACGCUGAGGCGCGAAGGCGUGGGGAGCGAACGGG
rnacentral:rRNA from 1 species